rnacentral:rRNA from 1 species
UUCGCAGGCUGUUCAAUAAGUCAGUGGUGAAAUCUCUCGGCUCAACCGAGAAACUGCCAUUGAUACUGUUGAACUUGAAUAUAGUUGGAGUAGGCGGAAUGUGUAGUGUAGCGGUGAAAUGCUUAGGUAUUACACAGAACACCGAUAGCGAAGGCAGCUUACUAAACUAUUAUUGACGCUCAUGAACGAAAGCGUGGGGAGCGAACAGGAUUAGAUACCCUGGUAGUCC